rnacentral:rRNA from 1 species
UACGUAGGGUGCGAGCGUUAAUCGGAAUUACUGGGCGUAAAGCGUGCGCAGGCGGUUCGUUAAGUCAGAUGUGAAAGCCCCGGGCUCAACCUGGGAACUGCAUUUGAAACUGGCGGGCUUGAGUAUGGCAGAGGGGGGUGGAAUUCCGCGUGUAGCAGUGAAAUGCGUAGAUAUCGGGAGGAAUACCGAUGGCGAAGGCAGGUCUCUGGGCUGACACUGACGCUCAUGCACGAAAGCGUGGGGAGCAAACAGG